GAUGAACGCUGGCGGCGUGCCUAAUACAUGCAAGUCGAGCGAACAGAUGAGGAGCUUGCUCCUCUGACGUUAGCGGCUGACGGGUGAGUAACACGUGGAUAACCUACCUAUAAGACUGGGAUAACUUCGGGAAACCGGAGCGAAUACCGGAUAAUAUAUUGAACCGCAUGGUUCAAUAGUGAAAGACGGUUUUGCUGUCACUUAUAGAUGGAUCCGCGCCGCAUUAGCUAGUUGGUAAGGUAACGGCUUACCAAGGCAACGAUGCGUAGCCGACCUGAGAGGGUGAUCGGCCACACUGGAACUGAGACACGGUCCAGACUCCUACGGGAGGCAGCAGUAGGGAAUCUUCCGCAAUGGGCGAAAGCCUGACGGAGCAACGCCGCGUGAGUGAUGAAGGUCUUCGGAUCGUAAAACUCUGUUAUUAGGGAAGAACAAAUGUGUAAGUAACUAUGCACGUCUUGACGGUACCUAAUCAGAAAGCCACGGCUAACUACGUG
rnacentral:rRNA from 1 species